rnacentral:rRNA from 1 species
UGCCAGCCGCCGCGGUAAUACGGAGGGUGCAAGCGUUGUUCGGAAUUAUUGGGUGUAAAGCGCGCGUAGGCGGCAAGGUAAGUCAGAUGUGAAAUCCCUCGGCUCAACCGAGGAACUGCAUUUGAAACUGGCGAACUUGAGUACGGGAGAGGAAAGUGGAAUUCCGAGUGUAGGGGUGAAAUCCGUAGAUAUUCGGAGGAACACCAGUGGCGAAGGCGGCUCACUGGCUCGAUACUGACGCUGAGGUGCGAAAGCGUGGGGAGCAAACAGGAUUAGAUA